UACGUAGGGUGCGAGCGUUACUCGGAAUUACUGGGCGUAAAGCGUGCGCAGGCGGUUUCAUAAGCUCGAUGUGAAAGCCCCGGGCUUAACCUGGGAAUGGCAUUGAGGACUGUGGAGCUCGAGUGCGGCAGAGGGAGGUGGAAUUCCACGUGGAGCAGUGAAAUGCGUAGAGAUGUGGAGGAACACCGAUGGCGAAGGCAGCCUCCUGGGCCGACACUGACGCUCAUGCACGAAAGCGUGGGGAGCAAACAGG
rnacentral:rRNA from 1 species